rnacentral:lncRNA from 1 species
GUUUUGAGACGGGGCGCUGGGCCGGGCGCGGUGGCUCAGGGCUGUAAUGCCAGCAUUUUAGGAGGCAGAGGUGGGAAAGGAUUGCUUGAGGCCAGCCCGGGCAAGAUAGCGCUACUCUAUCUCUAUUUUAAAAAAAUAGGAGAGGCGCCACCCCAUUCUUACUUAGGCGAAUCACUUGCUUUUCCUCGAGAGCAUGUUAACCCUUCGGGAAUGAUAGGACGACCGGGGUCUUCUGGUGUCAGACCCGCGUGCAGUGUGCCCUUUUGUUCUGUUUUGCCUGCUCAAAGUACCUCCCCGCACCCCACUCCUACCUGGAUUCUUCCCAGUCGGAGCUAUUUCACGUCCACACACCCUUCCCGAUUUCUGUAGCCUGGGAUUCAGGAAUCCAAGGCUUCCCCCACCUCAGCAGGGCUCAUCUGUAUUGUGGUUAUGGGUUUCCAGGUCACAGCUCCAGCUCUGAUUCCAUCCUCGGCCCUGGGAGAGUUUAACUUUUCUGGAUCCGCUUCUUCCCCCGGGAAAUGGACAGUGUGACAGUACCUGCCUCAAGGGGCACAUGAGACAGCUCUGCCUGAGAGUGAGCAAGGUGGGGCUGGGUCCCCCCUAACGCCCAGACCCCCAUGGAGAACCCCUUCCCAGCCCACCUCAGUACCUGGAAGCUGAGUACCCCUAUGCCUUGCAGUGCCUCUCUUCUGGAGUGACAGGAUGAGGGUGGGGGCUUCACAGGAACCAGGGCCUGGCAUGCAGCCUUCAUGUUUUCCCACACCUUAGGUCAUCUGCACCUUGGUUACACCAGUGGGCCUGAUGUCCUUGAAAAAUAUCAUAGACGGGUAGGUGCGGUGGCUCACACCUGUAAUCCCAGCACUUAGGGAGGCUGAGGCAGAUGGAUCACCUGAGGUCAGGAGUUUGAGACCAGCCUGGCCAACAUGGUGAAACCCCGUCUCUACUAAAAAUACAAAAAUUAGCCGGGCGUGAUGGUGGGUGCCUGUAAUCCCAGCUACUUGGGAGACUGAGGCAGGAGAAUCGCUUGAACCCAGGAGGUGGAUGUUGCAGUGAGCCGAGAUUGUGCCACUGCACUCCAGCUUGGGCAACAAAGCAAGACUCCGUCUCAAAAAAAAAAAAAAAAAAAGAAAAUACCAUGGAGGGCCAGGUGCGGUGGCUCACGCCUGUAAUCCCAGCACUUUGGGAGGGUGAGGUGGAUGGAUCACUGGAGGUCAGGAGUUUGGAGAGCAGCCUGGCCAACAUGGUGAAACCCUGUCUCUAUCAAAAAACACAAAAAUUAGCUGGGCUUGGUUGUGCGUGCCUGUAAUCCCAGCUACUCGGGAGGCUGAGGCAGGAGAAUCGCUUGAACCCGAGAGGUGGAGGCUGCAGUGGGCCGAGAUCGCGCCACUGCACUCCAGCCUGGGUGACAGAGCGAGACCGUGUUUCAAGAAAAAAACCCACAACAAACAAUGGAGACCAAACCCAGGGCCCAUCAAAGGGGCCUCUAGAGGCUGGCAGGGCAGAGUCUAAAUCCCAGCCAUGCCCCUCCCAACUGUGUGGCCUUGGAGAAGCCCCUCAACCUCUGGCAUGUGCUGUCUGAACUUGGGUUCUUCACGGUGCCCCAACCAAUACCAGCCAGCCAGUUCCCACGACUCCCAUCCGAUGGCAGCCUGGGAGCCCAUCUGUUCCUGUCCUGCUGGGCCCACCAGGAACUGGCCACCUCUGCUGGAUGGGUGGCUGCUGCAGCUGACAUUUAGGCUCCAGAGGCUGGGCACUGAAUCAGGGAGGCCAGAGAGGGCUGCCAGGACAGCAGGCGCUCCUGGCCAAGUGAGGCUCUGCUGGGAGCUCCCUGUUUGGUGGAGGAUCAAGACAGAACUUUGAGGACAGUGUUCCACCCAUAUUCUGCACCCUUCUUGGCUGAGGCCACAGGGCAGACCCCCACCCACCGGCCCUGUUCUUCCAAGCCCGAUCCCAUAUGAGCAGGCGUCCCAUGCACACACUUCUCAGGCACUUUUUAUUUCAUGCUGUGCGGGGGCCCCUUGUCCCAGAUUUGUGGCCACGUGUCCAGGUGUCUGGGGGAGUGGGCCAAGCCUGAGAGAGGAGGGCCCUGCUCCAGAGAUCCCCAGGUUGUCCCUGUUGACCUAUAGGGAGGUCUGACUUCAGGCGUUGCCCUCCUGACCCGUGAGCAGUCCUGAGUCGCUGGCUCCUAUUCUGUCACACGGGGUGGGUAGUGCCAAAAGCAGCCUCCUGCAGCCCUUGGCGUCCGGAAGAGUGACAGCCACAUUCAAGUCUCCCUGGCACGUGAGGUCCAUGGUGCCCCUGACUCAUGUCCUGGCUCCAGCCAAUAGCCCAGACCCCCAUGGAAGGUUCCAGCAUGUGCAAAAAUGCACAUUGGCCAGGUGGCUGCCCCCCGGAGACAUGUGUCAGAGAGGCACGGGUCAGGUGACCCAAGUGUCCAAAACUCUCAUGGAGGGUCCCAGCCCAUUGGCCACCCCAAGCCAACCACAGCAGGGUCUGAGCCUCAGACGCGCAGUGGCCUAGUGGCUUCUGCUCUGACAGCUCACGUCCAGGUUAUAAGGGAGACGGGCAGCGUUAAUAGAAAACUUUGUACAUACACAUAUAAAAAACCAUUUGGUCUUCCAUUAAGGCUGUUACAGUUUAAAGUUACGUAAACCACGUACAAAGAAACAGUUAAACGUACAAAAAGGGGAGUGGGGAGAUGUGAGGCCGCAGGUGGAGAUGUGGUGCUCCCCACAGGUGCGUCCAUGAUUUGGGGGCUGCGUGCGAGGGGGCCUGGCUCCAGCCGGCCUCUCCCUGCCUUGACUCUGCACUUGGGGCCGGUGCCCACCUCACGUCACUCUUGAGCUUUUGAUUCUGGAUCCUUCUCUGAGGGCCGAACACUAGCUCUGCAGCUCUGGCGCCCAGCUCCAGUGCAGGGGCCGUCCUCGGACAUGCAGACUUUGUCAGCUGUGGCUCUCAGCCAUUGGUCUGGCCCGAGGCGGGGGGCAGGCAGUACGUUGGGGGAUCCGAGUACCUCCGCUUGGCCCCAGGUGGCUGGCCAUCCUCUUCUAGGGGCUCCAGGGCGCCCUGCACUGGCAGGUCUGCCCCGGGCGUGAUGUACACGGAAUGUAUCUGGUCCGGGCGGCGGGCAGGUGGCUCCCGGCGCCGCACUGGGGCAGCCGCCUCCCGGGCACCCGGUGCCCAGCGAGGCAGGUGGGAGGGCAGGCCUGGUGGGAGCUUGAUGUUGGCCGUGGGCAUGAUGGGGGUCCGCCGGGGGGUCUUCACUCUGACCGUUACGAAGGACGACGGCCUUCGUCGUGGAGGGGCGGCCACGGUGGGGAGGGGGCUCGGGGUGGGCGCGCCGGGGCAAGGGAGAGCAGGCGCAGGGGGCCCUUUUGAGAGACAGAUGGCAGGGUUACUGCAGCUUCAGGGCCGGCAGCCGGAGGACCCUCGCCCUGGGGCCUGCUGGGAUGGACGGGAAGGAGAAAAGCAGACGCUACCUUAAUACUGACCUUCCGAGGCCCCCCGCCCGGCCCGCUCCUCCAGCAGGCUCUCGGUGCUGGCCGACGUCUCCGAGUCCAGGUUCUCCUCGUCCGAGCCCCUUGGGUCCAGCUCCGGCAGCCGGUAGGUGAUGUCCUCCCUGGAGGAAAAAGGGUAGUGGUGUCCAAGGCCACCCCACCGGAAGUGCUGGGCCAGUGUGGAACAGAGCAGGCUGUCCUGCUCCUAGAUGUAACUCUGUGUCCCCAACCUCCCCCCACCCCAAGCAGGAGGAUUGCUUGAGCCCAGGAGUUUGAACCCAGCCUGGGCAACAUAGGCGGACCCUGUUCUGCAAAAAGUAAAAAAAAUUAGCCAGGCGUGGUGGUGUGCACCACCUGUGGUUCCGGCUACUGGGGAGGCUGAGGUGGGAGGACCCCGUGAGCCUAGGGGAUUGUGGCUGCAGUGAACCGUGAUCGCACCACUGCAAUCCAGCCUGGGUGACAGAGAAAGACCCUGUCUCAGAAAUAAAGGCCGAGUGCGGUGGCUCACGCCUGUAAUCCCAACACUUUGGGAGGCCAAGGUGGGUGGAUCACUUGAGGUCAGGAGUUCAAGACCAGCCUGGCCAAUGUGGUGAAACCCUGUCUCUAUUAAAAACACAAAAUUAGCAGGGCAUGGUGGUGGGCACCUGUAAUCCCAGCUACUCGGAGGCUGAGGCAGAGAAUCGCUUGAACCCGGGAGAUGGAGGUUGCAGUGAGCCGAGAUAGCACCACUGCACUCCAGCUGGGCGACAGAGCGAGACGCCGUCUCAAAAAAAAAAAAAAAAAAAAAAAAAGUGUUGUUUGCCCAGUGUUAGGGAUGACAGGACCAAACCUGGCGAGGUCAAGCGGACCACCAGGGAUGGAACCUGCACUCCAGCUUGCCCUAAACAUGAAGGACUGAGGGAGGGGACUGAGCCACUUGCUUCUCCUCCUUGAUGGACUGGAUCCGUUCAAUGAGAAUCUCCUUUUCCCGGUCCUCAUCGCCGCCGGCUGCCUCCUCCUCCAGCAGCACCUCCAGCUCCUCCUCCUGGAUGUCCCGGGUCUUGGGGCUCUUGUUCUGAAACAAAGAAGCAAGGGGUCCCACUGACAUCUCUGAGUGGGCGAGGUUACUGCCGGAGGUGUGAGCAGAUCCCAGGAGGUUAGUUGUGAUGUGAGUGUGCUGGGCUCUUAGUGAGACUUCUCUAGGAAUCCCAUGGGACAGAGUGGUGGUCAUGUGGCCGAUUAGUCGUCCUGAGCACAGAAGGUCAGCAGGCAAGGGGCCUCCCCAGCAUGCACUUCCGGAAGGUUAGGACAGGCUCUGUCUAUCCUACGAGGGGCCCAGGGCCCCAGGGAACCCCAGCAUGCACUGCACCGGGAGACAUGCACCGCGGGCCCACCGAACGCGUACAUACCAGGACCCCCUCAUAGGGAGACGAAAACCCCAGUUUGAGAGGCCAUGGCUGGGAGAGAGAUGAACACAGGGUGACCACACGGGCCAAGACAGACACAGGCAUGAGCUGGGGAUACAUCCAAUGACCGGUACCAAGAUAGGGGGUCCCUGGUUCCCACAGGAGCCCAGAGCCCGUUCCCCACUAACACACCCCUGCACUGUGGGGCUGAUUCUUCUGCUAUGGGAACAUUUCCCCGUGGGUAGGGCCCAGGUCAGAAGGGACAAGGCUGGACGCAUGACCUGAACCACCAGCAAGCAGGAAGCUGGUCCCCCUACCUGCCCCACCUAGAGGAACAUAAUUGGAGUGAGGCUGAGCGAGGACCAUCGUCUUUCGUUCAAGGCAGUAAGUCUGCCCCUACCUGCAGGGCCUGGUGGCCCCAGCCAGGCUGGUUGUGGCCAAGGGUGUGGUAGGAGUGGGCGGGGAACUGGGAAGGGAGGCCCCGCCCUGCUACCCGAGACCACACCCACUACCCGGUCCCAUCCUCGGCAUGGGAGGUCCUGCCCACCCAAGGCCCCGCCCACCAAGACCCCACUCACCAGCCUUCCCAGCAACAAAGCCACGCCCAAGGCCCUGCCCAGCACCAGGCUCCGCCCCACCAAAGAGGUCCCGCCCCCACGAUCACCGGUACUCACAGCAUUUUGUCGCAGGAGCGAAAGCCUGCGGAAGGCGAUACUCUCUGCAGCCUCCAGUUGGCUGAUCUCCUCCAUCUUCACUUUGUAUUUCCUCAUCUGCUCCUUGAUCAGCAUCUCCACGCACCU